GCAUGGGCUUUACAUGCAGAUUCCAUACUCUUGGCUGCCCUCUAUGGUGGUAUAAUGUCUUCUGGAAUUGCCUAUUAUCUUCAAGGAGUAGUGGUGAAGUUAAAAGGACCUGUGUUUGUAACUGCAUUCAAUCCUCUCAGCAUGGUCAUAGUUGCCAUAAUUAGUUCAUUCAUAUUCUCCGAGACACUGCGCUUAGGAAGGGUCAUUGGAGCAGUUGUGA
rnacentral:misc_RNA from 1 species